rnacentral:lncRNA from 1 species
ACAGCUCUGUUGACCCAGCCAUCAACAAAGGUGCCGCUAGGUGGAAGAUCAGCUGGUGGUCCGGUGGAGGGACCUGGCGAUGGAGCACCGGAAGGUCCACCCGGUGAUGGAGCUGUAGUAGGGGAUACAGAAGAAGGUGCAGGAGAGGGUACAGCCAUUGGAGAUGGUGAAGGAGAAGGAGAAGGAGAUGGAACCGGUGUAGGAGCGGGAGAUGGUGGUGUGAUGACGGGGGCAGGUGUAGGGGCGGCGGUUGGAGAGACUGUAGGGGUGGCGGUGGGAGCUUGUGCUGUGCAUGAGCUGAUGAAGACAGCAAUGAGCAUCAAGGAC